CGGAAGAGUACUGAAAAUACUAAGAAAGUAGGGCUUCCCUACACCUGAAACAUCAGCAGGAGCCACCUGCAGAGUUGUAGAGUUGAUUCCAUUUAUAUAGUACCUGUCAGAGUCCCAGACACAACACAAGCCGACAUCUACGUGCAAAGAGGUAGGUUGAAUCCAAACAAUAAUCUUCAGGCAGAAGUAGGCGCCACUUUCCAGGGGGCUGGAAAGCAGGGUGCCCUCUAAACUGCUGUCCUCAUGAAGGCACACUGCAAGGAUGGUGUGGAUAGGCAAAAAAG
rnacentral:lncRNA from 1 species